CUCCAUCCCACUUACUAGUCGGGAAGAGAACAGGAGUUGAAACAAACACUGUGUGCUGUGCUGAUGCAUUCCUAACCAGCCGUGUCCCCACUGGCCACGUCCCCAGUCCCGCAGCAGAGCCUGGGCUGAUGUGUCACAGAACAGCUGUGAUGUAGCCCAGGUGAUGGAAUGGGAUGGUAACAGCAACCCAGAACCUGGCCCACAAGCAGAACUUGCCCGGAGUAUUUCUGUGGCACAAGUGCUAGCUGCUAUUGCACAGGUGUAGCAAAAGUGCUGAGUCCCAGACUGAAGCAGUGAUGGAGCACCUGGUGGGAGGGCAGGGCCAACCCAGGGUGCAGGCAAUGGACGUGACUGAUUGGAGGGGUGGAGCCAGGAUCCAGCCCUUCCCAGCCCUCAUUUAAGGCUUGGCAGUGGAGGUGAGGGGAACUUGUUGGAGAUCUCUGUUGGAAGCCUUCUAAAGCUCUGCUGUGCGGUGCAGACAGACGGGGAGCAGCACAGGCAGCGAUGUGGGCAGUGCCACAGCCUGAUCCUGGUGAGACGGGCCCUACUGCAGCGUGCUGAGUGAAUACCCACCCCCUUUUUCUAGUGACCAAUGAGUGGCUCUGUGUAACAAGGCCAGGAUCCGAAGGUGAAGCAGGUUUCUGUGUCCUGUGCAGCUCCACAAGGGGAAGAUGGCAUAAGGCAGCACUUGAGUGCCACCCUGCCCCAUACCAGGUCUUGGAGCUGCUUUGCUUUUUGGGAACGCACAUGGAAACACAGCUGUUGCUCCAUUAGCCCUAAAGAGGCAGCUUCAUUAGGGACAGCUGAGAGCACCUCAUUGCCUGUCUCAGCACUCAGCUCCAGCACUGCCUCUCUCCCAGCCCUCUCUGCACUCUAGGACUGUUCCCCCCAUCACCCAGGGCUGGGAUGUGGCUGCAGGGGGAUUUGUUGCUGGAGCAAUGCUGCGCUCGUACUUAGGAAAGUAGGGCAUCUGCUUGGCAGCUCUAGAAAUAAUGGGAGACUGGUUUAAUUAUUCUACAGAAACACUCAGAUUGUGCAGAUGCCGAACGUAGGUUUAAUAUAAUUAAGACAACUCCUGUCUAUAAACAUGUCUGGGACAGCCAGGGGUGGCAGAGCAGUGCUCCCCCUCCCAGCCACGAGCUGGAGCUCCCAGUGCAGCACCAUGGGACGUGGCUGUGCCAGAUCAGUUUGGCAUUCUGGCUGAACCCGAUGUCUUCUCCACUCCAAGGUGAACGCACCCCAGGCACAGCACCACCCACCCAUCCCACCCCACAGCCAGUCGGGCUAUGCUGUUACCCAUCCCAACCCCAGCUUCACCCCCAGGGCCUUCUCCUGGACAGGACGUGAGGUUCUCCGCUCAAAAUAGGAGAGAAUCCAGCCUGAGAGAAGGCAGCAGGUUUGCUGGAGGGAGAUGCUAUUUGCAGGCAGCCUGGCCCAGAGGUAGAUUUAUUCUCCUUCCUUUCAUUCAUUUGAAGCUAAAGUAAUAGCUCUAACUACAUCUGACUUCUAAUAAGCGCAUUACUGGGAACAAACCUGAGUUCUGCAUGUAUUUCCCUCUUUGUCAGCUCUAUCCAGGCACUUUUUCUCCCUCUCUUUUUACAAUAACAGAAUCAGAGCUUUGUCAGCUGGAAGUUUAUAUGCCCUACUUAUAACGCUGCUGUGCUCGUGUCCUGGCAUACGGAGCUCCUCACCCUCUGCUCACGGAGCGGAGCUGUGCGCACCCUGGUUCAAAUGCCUGAAUGCUCUGUGCUGUGAGCUUUGCUCCUUAGCGGCAGCUCCUUGAACUUGGGGUUGCUGUAGAGGAACAGGCAUUGUGCUGGGCAAUGCCUGCAGGUUUGCUCCUCGCACCGAUCCGUUGAUGUCCAUUGGUUCCGACUUCUGAUGUGUGAGAGCAGGGCACCAAACCUGGCUGCAAUUUGGCACCCACCUGAUGGUUUGAUUAAUGAGCUGUGUUAAUUACGGGCUCGGCGCCCUUACAGCAGAGUGGUGGUACAGUACAGGGCACACGGCUCUGCCACUGCUGCCUUUCCCAUGUGGAUUUCUGCUUGCUGAAGUCGGCUCUUCUGUUAAAUAUAGCUGAUGAGCUGUUCCUGAAUUGCACCUAAUUACGGCUCCUCUUCAGUGCUUCCUGCCAGCUCGCAGCACCAGGAGAGGGGAGACUCGAGCUCCUCCACUAUCCCACAGCUUGUGCUCGGAAGGAAGGAGACGAAAAGUGCUAUUCUCUGAGAAGAGAGGGGGAAAUAAUCCUGGCGAGGCUCCUGCUGAGCUCUCUGUCUGUGGAGAUGUCAGAAGUCGGGUGCACAGCAUGGAGCAGGGCUGCAAUGGUCACCAUGCAGAGCAUCUGCAGCUCCGCAAUGGUUCUGCCUCAUUUCCACAGCUCGUCCAUAGGACCUCUGGUGAAGAUGUUUUGCACCUCUGUCCCAAAGUGGGGCUCUUGCUGGGGCUGAAGCACGUUUUUCCCAGCUGUGUAACUGUAGGCCGCUGCCCUGUGUGGGUGUGCACUGGGCACUGCCUGCCCGGUUCUGCUGAGUUCUUCCCUGGAGGAGGAGGGUAAAGCCAGCAUGACCGAAAAUAUGCAGAUCUGUUCUCUGGUUAGAAGCGGCCUGGCUACUAGUUUCAGUCUCAGGCACUUGGCUUUGCUGUGGGAAGCCCUCAUCAUUUUCUGCUGUUUUACUCAUAGCCAAAAAUAUGAUGAAACCAGAACUGAAUGUGUUUUUUCUUUCCGUUUCAUUACAGUAAGCAUCAUAAAUUAUUCAGGCGUGAGA